UUGAAAAUUUUGGGGGUACUGUUGCUGGUCUUUUACAAGGCAUGUGCACGUAUCUCUAAUUUAUUCAUCCACCUGUGCACUUUUUGUAGGAGUUUUAUCAGAUGGGCUUUCGGGUCUUCUGUGAGACUUCUAUGUCUUUAUAAACCAGUUAAGCAUGUUUAGAAUGUGUUAUAUUGGGACUUCAUUGACCCUUUAAACUAUA
rnacentral:misc_RNA from 1 species